rnacentral:rRNA from 1 species
UACAGAGGUCUCAAGCGUUGUUCGGAUUCAUUGGGCGUGAAAGGGUGCGUAGGCGGCGCGGUAAGUCGGGUGUGAAAUCUCGGGGCUUAACUCCGAAACUGCAUUCGAUACUGCCGUGCUUGAGGACUGGAGAGGAGACUGGAAUUUACGGUGUAGCGGUGAAAUGCGUAGAUAUCGUUAAGGAAGACCAGUGGCGAAGGCGGGUCUCUGGA